AGUGUGUUACUCAGCCAAGAAUGACUUGCCCGCAUCCUAAUGUGGACUAUGAUUUCAUAUAAUCAUUCGACUGUUGUGGGUAGGUUGCUCUUGGCAAAGCAUCCCUCUCU
rnacentral:pre_miRNA from 1 species